GGUAGCGUGUCCGAGCGGCCUAAGGAGCACGCCUCGAAAGCGUGUGAGGGUGCAAGCCCUCCGUGGGUUCAAAUCCCACCGCUACCG
rnacentral:tRNA from 1 species